rnacentral:rRNA from 1 species
CCAAUAGCGUAUAUUAAAGUUGUUGCAGUUAAAAAGCUCGUAGUUGAAUUUCGGGAUCAGUAGGUUGGUCAUGCCUAUGGUAUGUACUGGUUUUACUGGUUCCUCCUUCUUGAUGAUCUGUAAUGUCAUUAAUUUGGUGUUGCAGGGAGUCAGGACUGUUACUUUGAAAAAAUUAGAGUGUUUAAAGCAGGCAUACGCUUGAAUACAUUAGCAUGGAAUAAUGAAAUAGGACGUUCGAUCCUAUUUUGUUGGUUUCUAGGAUUGACGUAAUGAUUAAUAGGGAUAGUUGGGGGCAUUAGUAUUCAAUUGUCAGAGGUGAAAUUCUUGGAUUUAUUGAAGACUAACUACUGCGAAAGCAUUUGCCAAGGAUGUUUUCAUUAAUCAAGAACGAAAGUUAGGGGAUCGAAGACGAUCAGAUACCGUCGUAGUCUUAACCAUAAACUAUGCCGACUAGGGAUCGGAUGAUGUUAUUUUUAAUGACUCAUUCGGCGCCUUACG